rnacentral:RNase_MRP_RNA from 2 species
UGUGUUAACCAAGUCUUGCUGUCAAGGCUUAAUCAAGCUCUUGAGGGAAAGUCCCCGGACCAAUUGAGAGAGUCUUUUCUUUAACAAGAUUACAUUCUCAUUGAAUUCAAUUGCCGAGAAGAUGAAUCAAUCUGAGCCUAGUUGAAGUUCAAUGAAUUCAAUGGUCUACAUUGAAAGUAAAAUGCAAGAAGCAUUCCUAAUCAGGAAUGUCAACAGAAUGGGGCUUACUCUGGUUUAACAC